rnacentral:rRNA from 1 species
AUACGGAGGGUGCAAGCGUUACUCGGAAUCACUGGGCGUAAAGCGCGCGCAGGCGGGCUGAUAAGUUGGAUGUGAAAGCCUACGGCUCAACCGUAGAACUGCAUCCAAAACUGUCAGUCUAGAGUCUGGGAGGGGAAGAUGGAAUUAGUUGUGUAGGGGUAAAAUCCGUAGAGAUAACUAGGAAUACCAAAAGCGAAGGCGAUCUUCUGGAACAGUACUGACGCUGAGGCGCGAAAGCGUGGGGAGCAAACGGGAUUAGAAACCCUAGUAGUCC